CCCAAAUGCUCCUCAAUGCCGCCAACGCAGCUGCCAGGUUUAAUAACUGUGUCAGACGGCCCGCCCCUCCCCCUCCCCCCUCCCCCAGGAGCGGCAGAUGACAGGCGGUGGGGACCGAGUUGGCGUCUCGCACCGCAGUUUUUCAGCCUCAGCCGAAAGAUUGCCUAGGGACCCACCAUGCCAAGGUUAAAUGCCAAAGAAUCCUUCAGAAACCUUGCGUCCUUCCUGUUCACUUGGCAGCAUUUCUUUCGGGGCGAAUAAACACAGCAGAGGCGAGUGCCGUGCAGGGCUCUGUUCAACAGGACCUUACUGUGUGGGGACGCUCCGCUGCCGUUCAUUCACUUGGACCAUUUCCAAAGCGCGAGCCGCUCCUGGAGACAAGCUGAAUACACCAGGCCGGGAGCAAUCAGCGGUUCGGUUUUGCUAGUGCACCGUGAAAGCUGAAUGUUCCGCCGAAGGUAAUGUUUUACAGCAAGUACAAGGUGGAUCACAGCCUAGCGGCCACACCUCCCAGUUCCCCAAGGGUCCUCACCCCAGCUGACUCCGCCCCAGGGCACCGCACCUGCUUCCACUCUGCAGAGUGGUUGCCUUGGAAACCCUGGAGAGCUAGAGCUCCCUGCAGACACACUGUUGCCCUGACAACAGCGACCCAGCUCUGGGUGUGCCAGGAAGAAAGUCAAUGGAUGUUGCUUUAAAUACGGAUUCAGGUCUGUGCUAGGCACUGGCAGGGAUAAGAAAAGAGCGCUACUAGGGGAUGCAGGCUGAGCGUCAAGAGCGUGGGUGGAGUCGAUGGGUAUCACAGACUGGGCACGCUGUCGCUCCACCCCUUUUUACCAAGCAAGUUUGCACUUGACUGUGAAAAAAUUCCAUAGUUCUUUUAGUGUGUUUCCUUCAUCUGCUUAAGAUGCUUAAAAGGGAUUUCCCAGCACGAGCUGGCCCCAGGCAGGAAUAAGUAAAAGCCCCUAAGCAUGAUGGAAACAGAGGGACUGCCUCCUGGGGUAAUAGUUAACUACGGAUGAUGUCAUGGCAGACAUUCAAGAACUCUGGCUGUGAUGAGAAAUGACUACAAAUUUUCACUCAUUGUUUGAGAAAGCUAGGGCCUAGAAGAGCUUACCAUAAUUUGUCACAAACCUGAAUGUGCAUUUGCCAUCUUGAGAUUUGGGUAAGAAGCUUAAACUCAUCCACAGACACAUAGGCACUUGUGCUAAGGAAGUGAGACCGCACAAGAAAGAGUCAGCUGGACAGCAGCUUCCUUGAGCUAGGGCUACAGAGACUGAAUGCCGGAAUGACCCGGACAGAAGAGCAAGUGUUUGCAGUUCUCUGCUUAAAGUGACCCAGUGCAAUACAGAGCAAUGUAAAAUAAAGCAUUCAGAGUCCACAGAUUAGACAUCCAGAAAAACGAGGAAACUGGGUGACGGCUGGCUCUUUUUUUUUUUAAGUGUCUAAUCCAUACAACAGUGAAGCAGAAGCCAGGAGAAUAUUUUCCAAGUACUGACAGAAAGCAGCCACUACAUCAGUCAGGGUUCCCCGAGGAACAGAACCGAUAGAAUGGGUGUUUAUAUUGCAAAGGGGAUGAUUUAUUGACUUUUCUUAAGUAACAUGGGCUAGGUAGGCCAACAAUGGCUGUCUAUACAUGGGGAGGCUAGAGCUACAUGCCACAUGGAUUAUGCCAAGCAAACGUCCCUGCUUAUAAAGCAGUCAGGCUCAAAUAUACUGAUGCAGCAACAGAAACAGCACACCCCGUGCUUCCUUUUGUGUUUAAGGCACCACAAAUUUAGGCGCACUCAGACCAUUUUCCGUUUGCCCUGUGGGGAAUUACGAGUGUGAAAAGGUGGGUGUCUCAUCGUGUUUGCCCUGUGGGGUAUUACGAGUGUGAAAGGGUGGGUGUCUCAUCGAGUUUGCCCUCACUGUGAAAGGAAGGAGUAAGCCGAAAGCUGGGGUCUUUAAGAGUCAUUCUCGAGGGCUGGAGAAAUGGCUCAGUGAUUAACAGCACUGGCUGCUCUUCCAAAGGACCCAGGUUCAAUUCCCAGCACCUACAUGGCAGCUCACAGCUGUCUGUAGCUACAGUUCCAGGGGAUUUGAUGGCCUCGUACAGACAAACAUGAAGGCAAAACACCUACGUACAUAAAAUAAAAGCCUCUUUUAAAAAAAGGCAUUCUCAGAAUUCUGCUUAUCAUACACCAUGACUCAGCCAUUCUGUUCCUAGAUAUCCUGUGUGAAUAAAAUGGCAUACAUAUCAGCUCAAA